rnacentral:rRNA from 1 species
UACAGAGAGUGCAAGCGUUAAUCGGAAUCACUGGGCGUAAAGCGCAUGUAGGUGGAUAUUUAAGUCGGGUGUGAAAUCCCUAGGCUCAACCUGGGAAUUGCAUUCGAUACUGGAUAUCUAGAGUAUGGUAGAGGGAAGUGGAAUUUCUGGUGUAGCGGUGAAAUGCGUAGAUAUCAGAAAGAACAUCAGUGGCGAAGGCGGCUUCCUGGACCAAUACUGACACUAAAGUGCGAAAGCGUGGGGAGCAAACAGG